rnacentral:rRNA from 1 species
GACGAACGCUGGCGGCGUGGAUUAGGCAUGCAAGUCGGACGGUAGGGCUUUAUCGUAAGAUAGAGUUUGAGAGUGGCGAACGGGUGAGUAACACGUAGGAAUCUACCCUUAAGACGGGGACAACCCAGGGAAACUUGGGCUAAUACCGGAUGAGAGUGCGAGAGAUUGCAUUUAAAAGGAUGGCGAAAGUUGUCGCUUAGGGAUGAGCCUGCGGUCUAUUAGUUAGUUGGUGAGGUAAGAGCUCACCAAGGCGAUGAUAGAUAGGCGGCCUUAACGGGUGGUCGCCCACACUGGGAUUGAGAUACGGCCCAGACUCCUACGGGAGGCAGCAGUCGAGAAUAGUCUACAAUGGCCGGAAGGCUGAUAGUGCGACGCCGCGUGAACGAGGGAGCCCUCGGGUCGGUAAGUUACGUUUUCUUACUUACGAGCAGUGCUAUAUAUAUAGAGUAGUAUAUAUAAGGAGUAGUAGUAUAGAAGUAAGACAACGACGUAACUACCGUUCGCCAGCAGCCG